UUGAGUAUAUGUCGCCACCAAGUUCUGCUAUGUCUUAUGCAUGGAACUCUGUUUUGGAACUACAGCUGAAACUGGAGGGUUUACUAUGAAAUUCCAAUUCAAUGUUAUGAGAUUGUGUAAGUUAUGUUAAGUUGAUGUUAGUUGUUUUUUUUUUCUUUCAUUAUUCAGUUGGCUGUUAAAGUCAGUUAGGAGGUUUGCGUAAAAUCAGUCAAUGUUGGUUGAGAUUAGGAAGUGAGAUUCUGUUAAGCUUAAAUUUAAACCUGUUAUCAUGUUGAGUGCAAUUUUGAUGGUUUGAGCUUGAAAUGGAUAUUUAAUAGUUUAGGUAUUUAAAUGCAAUUGGACUAUGUCAUGCCAUGAGUUUGAUUUUUUUAUUAACUUACAUUCCUGUUAACUAUGUUAUUGCUAUGCUAAUUUAGUGAUGGGUUGGUCAUUGAGUUGUAUUGUUGUAUUAAAACUUAUGUUAGGAAUCAAUUAGGAAAAAUAGCUAGUUAUCAAAGUGUUAGUAGUGUAAGUUGAUUUGAAAUCUGUUUGUUAUGAUUGAAUGAUAGUUAGCUUUUUAUGGUUGAAUUCUGCUAGAGUUGAUAUGUUGUUGGCUAUUGUUAGUUAAAAGGUCAGUUUGUGAAUGAAAAUGUGUUUGGGUUCGAUUUCAAGUUGCUAUGUUGGGAUUUUGCAGGAUUCUUCAUGGGACAAACUGAGGUUGGCUAGUAUGUUGUAGUUGCCCUCCUUGGAAUGAGCUUGAAGAUAGAUCUUGUUUGCAUAUGGAAUGACUUAAAAGUCAAGUUAUGUAGAAAUAGGAAUUGUAGAUGUUGUGUUUUUUUUUUUGUGAAAUUGGGCUUUGUAAUAUGAUCUUUGUAGUUAUAACUUGUAGCUUGAAUGGAAAAUGGAUUUUUUUUUUGUUAUUAAAUGGAUAUUUAUUAUUAUUAAAAUGGAUAUUUAUUGUUAA
rnacentral:lncRNA from 1 species